UUGUGUGAAUACAUAGCACAUUCGAGGUAGACGCAGAGAACUGAAACAUCUAAGUACCUGCAGGAAGAGAAAGAAAAUUCGAUUCCCUGAGUAGCGGCGAGCGAAACGGGAAAAGCCCAAACCAGCAAGCUUGCUUGUUGGGGUUGUAGGACUCCAAUAUGGUAGUUCUUUCAGAUAGUCGAAUGACUUGGAAAAGUCAGUCAAAGAGGGUAAAAACCCCGUAGACGAAAUGUGGAAGACACCUAGGAGGAUCCUGAGUACGGCGGAACACGAGAAAUUCCGUCGGAAUCCGGGAGGACCAUCUCCCAAGGCUAAAUACUCCCUAGUGACCGAUAGUGAACCAGUACCGUGAGGGAAAGGUGAAAAGCACCCCGGAAGGGGAGUGAAAUAGAACCUGAAACCGUGUGCCUACAACAAGUCAAAGCCCGUUAAUGGGUGAUGGCGUGCCUUUUGUAGAAUGAACCGGCGAGUUACGAUUGCAUGCGAGGUUAAGUUGAAGAGACGGAGCCGCAGCGAAAGCGAGUCUGAAUAGGGCGUUUGAGUAUGUAGUCGUAGACCCGAAACCAUGUGAUCUACCCAUGUCCAGGUUGAAGGUGCGGUAAAACGCACUGGAGGACCGAACCCACGUACGUUGAAAAGUGCGGGGAUGAGGUGUGGGUAGCGGAGAAAUUCCAAACGAACUUGGAGAUAGCUGGUUCUCUCCGAAAUAGCUUUAGGGCUAGCCUCGGAAUUGAGAAUGAUGGAGGUAGAGCACUGUUUGGACUAGGGGCCCAUCUCGGGUUACCGAAUUCAGAUAAACUCCGAAUGCCAUUCAUUCAUAUCCGGGAGUCAGACUGUGAGUGAUAAGAUCCAUAGUCGAAAGGGAAACAGCCCAGACCACCAGCUAAGGUCCCAAAAUAUAUGUUAAGUGGAAAAGGAUGUGGGGUUGCACAGACAACUAGGAUGUUGGCUUAGAAGCAGCCACCAUUUAAAGAGUGCGUAAUAGCUCACUAGUCGAGUGACCCUGCGCCGAAAAUGUACCGGGGCUAAACAUAUUACCGAAGCUGUGGAGUACACCUUUAGGUGUAUUGGUAGGAGAGCGUUCUAAGGGCGUUGAAGGCAGAUCGUGAGGACUGCUGGAGCGCUUAGAAGUGAGAAUGCCGGUAUGAGUAGCGAAAGACAGGUGAGAAUCCUGUCCACCGAAUGACUAAGGUUUCCUGGGGAAGGCUCGUCCGC
rnacentral:rRNA from 1 species